rnacentral:rRNA from 1 species
AACGAACGCUGGCGGCAUGCCUUACACAUGCAAGUCGAACGGCAGCACGGGAGCAAUCCUGGUGGCGAGUGGCGAACGGGUGAGUAAUGUAUCGGAACGUACCUUUCAGUGGGGGAUAACGUAGCGAAAGUUACGCUAAUACCGCAUAUUCUGUGAGCAGGAAAGCAGGGGAUCGCAAGACCUUGCGCUGAUUGAGCGGCCGAUAUCAGAUUAGCUAGUUGGUGAGGUAAAGGCUCACCAAGGCGACGAUCUGUAGCGGGUCUGAGAGGAUGAUCCGCCACACUGGAACUGAGACACGGUCCAGACUCCUACGGGAGGCAGCAGUGGGGGAAUUUUGGACAAUGGGGGCAACCCUGAUCCAGCCAUGCCGCGUGAGUGAAGAAGGCCUCGGUGUAAG